GAUGAACGCUGGCGGCGUGCCCAACACAUGCAAGUCGAGCGAUUUACUUCGGUAAAGAGCGGCGGACGGGUGAGUAAAGCGUGGGUAACCUGCCCUGUACACACGGAUAACAUACAGAAAGGCAUGCUAAUACGAGAUAAUAUGCUUUUAUCGAAAGGUAGAAGUAUCAAAGUUUUUGCGGUACAGGAUGGACCCGCGUCUGAUUAGCUAGUUGGUAAGGUACCGGCUUACCAAAGCGACGAUCAGUAGCCGACCUGAGAGGGUGAUCUGCCACAUUGGAACUGAGACACGGUCCAAACUCCUACGGGAGGCAGCAGUGGGGAAUAUUGCACAAUGGGCGAAAGCCUGAUGCAGCAACGCCGCGUGAGCGAUGAAGGCCUUCGGGUCGUAAAGCUCUGUCCUCAAGGAAGAUAAUGACGGUACUUGAGGAGGAAGCCCCGCCUAACUACGUGCCAGCAGCCGCAGUAA
rnacentral:rRNA from 1 species